AGUUGCUUUGAAGAUGCUGAGCUAAAGGAUAUAAAAGAGGAAUGAAACAGCUAAUGGCAUGCUUCAAGAAUAGGAAAUCAUUCUGACAAGAACUGCUACUGUGCUCAGCUGAUCUUUUGGUGAACUGCUCCACACCUUGAAGCUGACAAGAUUGAAACUGCCUCUUCGCCUGUAUUGCUUGGAAUUCUGUCACUCCUGUCACUAUUGGUAAUUGCUUCCUGAAGGCAUGUUUCAGCUUGCCAACCGAUCCAGAACAGAUGAUAUUGGCAAUAGGCCUGGGGAACCUGUUAUGGAUGCAGAAUGAUCUACAAACACUGAUGAGCCCUGCAAAUUACCUCUUUGUGCUACCCACAUGUAAAGCUGAUCAAGGGUCUACAGCUUUUAUGACUGUUGCAAAAAUCAGACAAAGGUAAAGAGCAACAGCUGUCUGAACAUCUCCAAAUGGUAGAAAGGCUUUCCUUUGACCAGGGUCAACAAAGAACUACUGGACCAUGGAGAUGUGAUGUUUACCUGCUCUUCUAGAGUAAGCAGGAAGGAAUGAUAUUUUCAUAUUUUAGUAAUGUCAUGGAUGUCUUCUGGUCCUUCAAACACUGCAAAAGCACAGCGAUGGACUGACCUGGUUUAAAAAUAUGGGGAGAAUUUUUAUGACCCUUUUGUCACAAAGGUCAUAAAAAAUUGUCCAAUAAACCAAUCGACUCUAACUGGUAGGUUAAACAUAAGAGCACUAUGAACUGUUGGGAGGGAGGCUGAAAGACAACAUUACUGAACCAUGUCCUAAAACCAGUUUGCCUGAAGAUUUUGAACAUGGACUUAUGUUUUUCCACAUUUGAAGUAGGGUUAUCUGUGGAUAAGCCUUGCUUGUGCUCUUGCUGUGUUAAACUUCUUUGUUCAAGGGUAAGUAGGCAUUAUGUACAGACAGUGAGUUAAACUAAAUAAUAUCUGCAUCCACUUCUCCAACAGAGAGGGAUUAACCAAAUACUGGCAUCUUCCUGACCUCUCAAAAGCUGAAGAAAUAGGAAUGGGUGGGGGGAGGGAAAUGAACUAUUGAAUUAUUAAAUGACUUCCAACAUUCUUCUCCUGACAGCAUUUUUCAUAAAGUAUUAUGUAUUCAAAAAUGUGUUUAACCUCUAAAAGUUAAGCAUAACCAUAACUAACAAGGUAACUUUUUGCAAGGGCUGAAGGGCUGACUA